UCGGGGCCUAAGGCGAGGUCGAAAGACGUAGUCGAUGGAUAACAGGUUGAAAUUCCUGUACUAUCCUGUAACAGAACUGUGGGGACACAGGCAGAGAGCGUGAGCCGGGAAUGGAAAGACCGGUACAAGCGAGGUAGGAGAAGAGUUGGCAAAUCCGCUCUUUAAUCUGAAGACGUGAUGUGGACUGAAAAUAAGUAGGGAAGCACGUGAGCUGACUGUCAAGAAAAGCCGCUAUUGUUUGCAGGAUACCCGUACCGUAAACCGACACAGGUGGAUGAGGAGAGAAUCCUAAGGCCGACGGGAGAAGCAUUGUUAAGGAACUCGGCAAAAUGACUCCGUAACUUCGGGAGAAGGAGUGUCAGUAAGAUGGCCGCAGAGAAUUGGCCCAAGCAACUGUUUAGCAAAAACACAGGUCUAUGCAAAACCGAAAGGUGAGGUAUAUGGGCUGACGCCUGCCCGGUGCUGGAAGGUUAAGGGGAGAGGUUAGCGCAAGCGAAGCUUUGAACUUAAGCCCCAGUAAACGGCGGCCGUAACAAUAACGGUCCUAAGGUAGCGAAAUUCCUUGUCGGGUAAGUUCCGACCCGCACGAAAGGCGUAAUGAUUUGGGCACUGUCUCAACAAUGCACCCGGUGAAAUUGAAAUACCAGUGAAGAUGCUGGUUACCUGCGCCAGGACGGAAAGACCCCAUGGAGCUUUACUCCAGCUUGAUACUGGGAUUCGGUAUUGCAUGUACAGGAUAGGUGGGAGGCUAGGAAAUGGUAACGCCAGUUGCCAUGGAGCCAAUGUUGGGAUACCACCCUUGCAGUACUGGGUUUCUAACCAGCAGCCGUGAUCCGGCUGGGGGACAAUGUCAGGUGGGGAGUUUGACUGGGGCGGUCGCCUCCGAAAGGGUAUCGGAGGCGCUCAAAGGUUCCCUCAGAAUGGUUGGAAACCAUUCGAAGAGUGCAAAGGCAGAAGGGAGCUUGACUGCGACACCGACGGGUGGAGCAGGUACGAAAGUAGGACUUAGUGAUCCGGUGGUAUAAAGUGGGAUUGCCAUCGCUCAACGGAUAAAAGCUACCCUGGGAUAACAGGCUUAUCACUCCCAAGAGUUCACAUCGACGGAGUGGUUUGGCACCUCGAUGUCGGCUCAUCGCAUCCUGGGGCUGAAGUAGGUCCCAAGGGUUGGGCUGUUCGCCCAUUAAAGCGGUACGCGAGCUGGGUUCAGAACGUCGUGAGACAGUUCGGUCCCUAUCCGGCGUGGGCGUAAGAUAUUUGAGAGGAGCUGUCCUUAGUACGAGAGGACCGGGAUGGACUGGCCGCUGGUGUAUCUGUUGUCUUACCAAAGGCAUAGCAGAGUAGCCAAGCCGGGAAGGGAUAAACGCUGAAGGCAUCUAAGCGUGAAGCCCCCCUCAAGAUGAGAUAUCUCAUAACGUCAAGUUAGUAAGACCCCUUGAAGACGACGAGGUAGAUAGGGCAGAGGUGGAAGUGUGGUAACACAUGGAGCUGACUGUUACUAAUAGGUCGAGGGCAUAACC
rnacentral:rRNA from 1 species